CACUGAAUAGGAUAACCAGUGGGGUGGGAGAUGAUAGCAAUUUUUAAAGGAGUGGGUUUAAAUAGACGGACAGUGUGAACUUCAAAAGAAGAAAAGGAUAGGGCAGGGGGAGUUAUGAUUGGUUGAAUGGUACAUUGAGGGAAGAAGAGGAUGCCUACGCCGCCUCCUUUACAGUUGAGUCUGGAAGUGUGAGAGAAUUGUAGCCCACCAAAACAUAAAGAGGCAGGAGUAGCACUAUCAGAGGGGGACAGCCAGGUCUCUGUAAGUGCAAGCAGUGUGAG